UCUCCGUAGGUGAACCUGCGGAGGGAUCAUUACAGAGUUCUCGCCCUCACGGGUAGAUCUCCCACCCACUGUUAUCGUUACUGUCGUUUCUUUGGCGGGCCGCCGGGUCCCCGGCCGCCGGCGCCUAGCUGCCGGCGCGCCACCGCCAGAGGCCUUCAAACUCUGAAUGUUAGUGUCGUCUGAGUACUAUAUAAUAGUUAAAACUUUCAACAACGGAUCUCUUGGUUCUG
rnacentral:misc_RNA from 1 species